GAUGAACGCUGGCGGCGUGCCUAAUACAUGCAAGUCGAGCGCAGGAAGCCGUCUGAACCCUUCGGGGGGACGACGGUGGAAUGAGCGGCGGACGGGUGAGUAACACGUAAAGAACCUGCCCAUAGGUCUGGGAUAACCACGAGAAAUCGGGGCUAAUACCGGAUGUGUCAUCGGACCGCAUGGUCCGCUGAUGAAAGGCGCUCCGGCGUCGCCCAUGGAUGGCUUUGCGGUGCAUUAGCUAGUUGGUGGGGUAACGGCCCACCAAGGCGACGAGGCAUGGCCGACCUGAGAGGGUGAUCGGCCACACUGGGACUGAGACACGGCCCAGACUCCUACGGGAGGCAGCAGUAGGGAAUCUUCCACAAUGGACGAAAGUCUGAUGGAGCAACGCCGCGUGAACGAUGAAGGCUUUCGGGUCGUAAAGUUCUGUUGUAAGGGAAGAACAAGUGCCGCAGGCAAUGGCGGCACCUUGACGGUACCUUGCGAGAAAGCCACGGCUAACUACGUGCCAGCCGCCGCAGUAA
rnacentral:rRNA from 1 species